GACGAACGCUGGCGGCGUGCUUAACACAGGCAAGUCGAACGGAAAGGCCCUGCGUUUGUGGGGGGCGCGAGUGGCGAAAGGGGGAGUAACACGUGAGGAACCGGCCCUUGACUGGGGGAGAACGUCAGGAAACUGGGGCUAAUACCGGAUAGGAGCUCCUGCUGCAUGGUGGGGGUUGGACAGUUUCGGCGGUUGGGGAUGGACUCGCGGCUUAUCAGCUUGUUGGUGGGGUAGUGGCUUACCAAGGCUUUGACGGGUAGCCGGCCUGAGAGGGUGAACGGCCACAUUGGGACUGAGAUACGGCCCAGACUCCUACGGGAGGCAGCAGUGGGGAAUAUUGCACAAUGGGCGGAAGCCUGAUGCAGCAACGCCGCGUGCGGGAUGACGGCCUUCGGGUUGUCAACCGCUUUCGCCUGUGACGAAGCGUGAGUGACGGUAAUGGGUAAAGAAGCACCGGCUAACUACGUG
rnacentral:rRNA from 1 species